rnacentral:rRNA from 1 species
GAGUUUGAUCCUGGCUCAGAAUCAACGCUGGCGGCGUGCCUCAGACAUGCAAGUCGAACGAUUAAACUUUCCUUCGGGAAAGAUAUAAAGUGGCGCACGGGUGAGUAACACGUAGGUAAUCUACCUUUGAGUGGGGAAUAACAAUCGGAAACGAUUGCUAAUACCGCAUAAUGCAGCGGCAUCGUAAGAUGACAGUUGUUAAAGGAGCAAUCCGCUUAAAGAGGAGCCUGCGGCAGAUUAGCUAGUUGGUAAGGUAAUGGCUUACCAAGGCUACGAUCUGUAACCGACCUGAGAGGGUGGUCGGUCACACUGACACUGAAUAACGGGUCAGACUCCUACGGGAGGCAGCAGUCGGGAAUUUUGGGCAAUGGGCGAAAGCCUGACCCAGCAACGCCGCGUGAAGGAUGAAGUAUUUCGGUAUGUAAACUUCGAAAGAAUAGGAAGAAUAAAUGACGGUACUAUUUAUAAGGUCCGGCUAACUACGUGCCAGCAGCCGCGGUAAUACGUAGGGACCAAGCGUUGUUCGGAUUUACUGGGCGUAAAGGGCGCGUAGGCGGCAGUUCAAGUCAGUUGUGAAAUCUCCGAGCUUAACUCGGAACGGUCAACUGAUACUGUUUUGCUAGAGUGCA